rnacentral:rRNA from 1 species
ACGCUCGACACCUACGGGGGCAGCAGUGGGGAAUAUUGCACAAUGGGGGAAACCCUGAUGCAGCGACGCCGCGUGGAGGAAGAAGGUCUUCGGAUUGUAAACUCCUGUUGUUGGGGAAAAAGAGGAUGGUACCCAACAAGGAAGUGACGGCUAACUACGUGCCAGCGGCCGCGGUAAUCUGAGCGGGCUGGCAAGGC